rnacentral:rRNA from 1 species
AGAGUUUGAUCCUGGCUCAGGAUGAACGCUAGCGGCAGGCUUAAUACAUGCAAGUCGAACGGUUACAGCAAUGUGACGAGUGGCGCACGGGUGAGUAACGCGUACAUAACAUACCUUUAACUGGCGAAUAGCCUUGGGAAACUGAGAGUAAUACGCCAUAACAUUGUAGCUUGGCAUCAGGCAGCAAUUAAAGUUCCGGCGGUUAGAGAUUGAUGUGCGUUGGAUUAGAUAGUUGGUGAGGUAACGGCUCACCAAGUCAACGAUCCAUAGGGGGCGUGAGAGCGUGGUCCCCCACACGGGUACUGAGACACGGACCCGACUCCUACGGGAGGCAGCAGUAAGGAAUAUUGGUCAAUGGGGGCAACCCUGAACCAGCCAUGCCGCGUACGGGAUGAAGGCGUUCUGCGUCGUAAACCGCUUUUAGAGGGGAAUAAAUCCCGAUACGUGUAUCGGACUGAAGGUACCCUCGGAAUAAGCACCGGCUAACUCCGUGCCAGCAGCCGCGGUAAUACGGAGGGUGCAAGCGUUAUCCGGAAUCACUGGGUUUAAAGGGUGCGUAGGCGGUUUUGUAAGUCGGUAUUGAA